rnacentral:misc_RNA from 1 species
UCCUCAGUUUUCCCCUUAUUAUGUGCAUACUUUUGAAGAUUUUCACCGUGCAACUUUCCAUACCUAAACUCGUCAAAAAUUUCAACUCCCAUAUUUAUGUAAAAAUCAUAUGACUUCUUAUUCCAAACUGCGAUUAUUCCAUCGACCGAUACGAACCCAUUGUUCGCAGCAAUGGACGAAACUGUUCCAAACAACAAUUUCCCCAUUCCCAACUUUCUAUAACUCUCUCUGAAGUAAAGACUUUCAAAAUAAAAUCCUGGCUUGUCAUUGAAACAUGAAUAAUUCGCGUAAAAGAAAGCAUAUCCUGCAAUGUAAGCAUCACUCUUAUCAUCAUAUUUGGAUCGGAAUUCCUCAACUUCUCCCUCUACGACUGGGAAUUUAAGGUCAAACGUUGUAAGGACAGGCUUGAACCCUUCGUCAGUAGUAUUUUUAGGUUCGUCAAAAGGGGUUGGAGAGACUUCAAGUAGAAGUACUGAUGGACCGUAGAAAAGUGGAAGAGGGUUUUCCUUAAAGAGCAAAUUGGCUAAGGAAGACUCAGUAGCUUUGUAUAAAUGAGUAUAGUUAUGGUAUACAUGGAUUUGGUAAAACAAUUUGUAUAUAUGAGAAAGAUCAGAUUUUGUAGCAAGACGGACUCGUGUGUAUAUCUUUCCAGUGAUGGUAACGUCCGAUGAUGCAUCGCUGGUUAUUGAUUGUUGAAGAGCAGGAGCCAUGAGAAAGUGUUUAGUUAAAUUUGAGAGGAUUGAAAUUUAAGAUAAAAGAAAUGUUGAAAGGUUUAGUAAUGGGAUAAUAUUGUGUGUGUUUGGG